UAAGGAGACAUGAUAAUACUGUAU
rnacentral:piRNA from 1 species